rnacentral:lncRNA from 1 species
UUGGCUUGUUCCAGCACUGCUUUCUGUGACAUUUCUGCUGGUAUUAGUGUCCUGACUACAAAGGAAAUUGUUGUCUAUCUCACCAAAUACGUUGGAACAUAAGAAAUGUGUCACAAUAACAAAACAUGAGCAGAAGAUAACGACCUGCUAAGUUUCUUUAUUUUAUUUUAUUUUUUUUUUAGGGCCUCAUCUGCAGCAUAUGGAAGUUCCCCAGGCUAGGGGUUGAAUCGGAGCUACAGCUGAUGGCCUGUAGGUCACAGCCACAGCAAUGCAGGAUUCAAGCUAUGUCUGCGACCUAUACCACAGCUCAUGGCCAGAUCCUUAAUCCACUGAGCAAGGGCAGGGAUUGAACCCAAGUCCUCAUGGAUACUAGUUGGGUUCAUUACUGCUGAGCCACAAUGGGAACUCCAAUAUUCUUUAGUUUUUAAUGUUUACUCAACAACCACAGCAUGCAAAUUUACAAACAAAAUCUAUGCAGAAUAAGCUUUUAGUCAAGAAAUGCACUUCUGGAGAAAGAAUUGCUCUCUACUGCAUAAACAAAUUACCCCAUCUGUUUAUGAGAAUUUAUACUUUCAACAAGGGACAGACACAUCUUAAUUGGAGCAUUCAAUACUGAGUGAUAAAAAAAGGUAGAUGGUACCCUCAGAAUAGCAAUAAGAGGGGUGAUGAGCUACACCACGGUCCCUUUUCAAAAACUCUAGGGACAGUUGUAUUUUUUUUUCUUUUGUUUGUUUAUCAAAAAGCAAAUUAAAUUAAAUAUCAACAACUAUGUGGUAUCUAGGCAGUACAUUAUGUAACACUUGCAACAGAAAUUGGGGCAAAACCCCAUGAUUCAACACAUUACUAUUUCUGUGGUUUACAUAUCAAUAUCCACACCAAGUGGUACAAGUACAGUGUACAAAUAGCUUCACAUCCGUGAUAUCAGUUUUGCUACCAAAUGAGUUAAGAAAAAAAAAAUCAAUCCUUUUUCUAAGCUUGGUGAACUUUGGAAUUAUGGACAAGAAAAGAUUUUUGGACUUGCAAUAUUAGCAGCUGCAGAAAUAGUAGUAGCAGUAUAGUAACUACCACUCUUUUUAAAGUAUUUACUCCAUCCUAUGCAGUCACAACAAACACGUUAUGUACGUGAGCAAUAAUUCUUAAAAAAUCUUUUAAAGUGGGCAUCGUGAUCAUUUUAUAAAUGAGAAGCCUUAGAAUCAAGCCAAGUAGGAUUAUCUACCCAAAGUCAGCUAGAUGGUGAUUCAAAUUGAACCUGGCUCCUCAUUAUAGCACCUCUCAUUACUACAGUAAUUUAUGCAUCUCACUGUAAUUUAUCCAUCUUACUACAUGUCCUCCCAGACAUAACAAUUACAUGCACUGAAUAUGUGAUAAGGCACCAGGGAAUAGGCUUGUAUUGAUUCCUUCCAAAAAUUUCCCAAGAACACUAUCUAGCACAUAAUGAUCACUCCUGUUUACCGCUUGAAUGAGUUGAUUAGUAUUAUACUCUAAUUUAAUAUUAAAUCAUGAUGAUAUUUUAUUUUUUUAAUUGCAUUGGAAUAUAGUUGACUUACAAUGUUGUGUUAGUUUCAGGUGGUCAGCAAAAUGAACCCUUUAUACAUACACCCAUAGUCCAUUCUAUCUCAGAUUCUUUUCCCAUGUAGGUUAUUCGAGAAUACUGAGUAGAUUUCUCUGUGCUAGACAGUAGGUUAGUUUUCUACUUUAGGUAUAGUAACAGGUAUAUGUUAAUCUAAAACUCCUAAUUUAUCCCCCCCUCUCCAUGUUACCCCUUUGGUAACCAUAAAUUUGAUUUUGAACAGUUUGUUUUUAAAGGAAGUUAUUUUGUACCAUUUUUAUUAAAUUCCACAUAUAAGUGAUCUCAUAUAUUUGUCUUUCUCUGUCUGACUUACCUCACUUGGUAUUUUACCACUUUUAAGUGGUUUUCAUUUCUCAAUGCACUUAUUACCAGUGCUGCCUCUUCAAACAAAUAAAGCCCCUCCCCAGGUUCCAAGUCUCAGGGGACCCGAUGCUUCAGACUGUCUCCAUCAAAACUCUCUAUAUCCCACCACAGUGCCUGGGACCAGCCAGGGAAACCAGGUACAAAGGUGGCUCCAAUCUUUAUGCAAUUUCUAAUUAUUUCCAUUCUAAGUCAUAGUUUGUUCCAAUUAUGGCACUUGGGCAAAGGCAAGAAGUAUGAGGAAUAUCGAUGUGGAAAAACAAGUUAACGAAAACUACCAAAAGGAAAAUCAUUUUGCAAAUGUGCCUCAAUAUCAUCUUCAUCAUAUCUCUGUUCAAAAGACCAGAGUCUUAUCUAUCCAAGCAAGAUGUUCCUAAUAGUUCACUCAUUUUUUUUAAGAAAAAAUGGUGACAAUAUAACAUUUCAGUCUUUGAAUCAAGACUAGCCAGGUCUGAAACGAGUUGGCGAAAAUCCCUACCAAAAAAAGGCUCCUCUAUCUAAUGUCAUGACUUAGAAACAAACAUGUGUAGACUAAUCUGAUUGAGUAUCUGAGAGGAAAAUGGAAGAACUCCCAAAAGAAGGUAAAAAAGCAGAUUUUUUUACUUUAGAUGCUGUAAUAACUUCCAAUUUAUGUAUUAUUAUAUCUCUAGUCACAAAACUCAAACAUAAUAUAAUGUUAUUUUAAAAAAUCAUCUGUUGCUUCCAUGUCUUGUCUAUUGUAAAUAAGGCUGCAAUGAACCUUGAGUGCAUAUAUCUUAUCAUGUAAUAUCACUUAUAUGAGGAAUAUAAUUUUAAAAGACACAGAAGAAUUUAUUUAUAAAGCAAAAACAAACACAUGGAUUUCAAAACCAACCUGAAGGUUACCACAGGUGAAGCCACUGCAGAGAGGGAGGAAUUGGGAGGGUGGGAAUGACAUAUGCACACUACUGUAUGCAAUAGAUUAAUGAAACCUGCUGUAUAGCACAGGGAAAUCUACUCAAUGGUUUGUAAUAACCUAUAUGGGAAAAAAGAAUGGAUAGAUUUAUAUGUAUGACUGAUUCACUUUGUUGAAUACCUGAAAUUAAUGCAAUAUUGUAAGUCAACUAUACUCCAAUAAAACUAACUUUUAAAAAACCCUAUGUUGGAGUUCCCAUUAUGGCUCAGUGGUUAACAAAUCUGACUAGGAACGAUGAGGUUGCAGGUUCGAUCCCUGGCCUUGCUCAGUGGGUUAAGGAUCCAGCAUUGCCGUGAGCUGUGGCUGUGGCAUAGGCCAGUGGCUACAGCUCCAAUUACACCCCUAGCCUGGGAACCUCCAAAUGCUGCAGGAGCGGCCCAAGAAAUGGCAAAAAGACCAAAAAAAAAAAAAAAAAAAAAAAA